CUCCUUUUGUAGUUCAUAAGUGUGAUGAUUGGAUGUUCAUGCUUGUGUGUGCCAUGUGUCUCCCUCUAAAGCUUUCUGACA
ensembl:snoRNA